AUUGAACGCUGGCGGCAUGCCUUACACAUGCAAGUCGAACGAGUGGCGAACGGGUGAGUAAUACAUCGGCACGUGCCCAGUCGUGGGGGAUAACUACUCGAACGAGUAGCUAAUACCGCAUACGAUUGGAGCGGCCGAUGGCAGAUGAGGUAGUUGGUGGGAUAAAAGCUUACCAAGCCGACGAUCUGUAGCUGGUCUGAGAGGACGACCAGCCACACUGGGACUGAGACACGGCCCAGACGCCUACGGGAGGCAGCAGUGGGGAAUUUUGGACAAUGGGCGAAAGCCUGAUCCAGCAAUGCCGCGUGCAGGAUGAAGGCCUUCGGGUUGUAAAGUACUUUCAGCGGGGAGGCGUUACCCGCAGAAGAAGCACCGGCUAACUCCGUGCCAGCAGCCGCGGUAAUAC
rnacentral:rRNA from 1 species